GGUGGGUUUUUUUUGGGUGGGGAAAGUGAGUAUUUUGUUCUAGUACUAAGGUGUUUCUUUUCCUCAUUGCUUUUCUGAUUUCAACAUGUUUUUUAAUGAAUAUACACAGAGUUAACAAAACCCAACCACAUUCAUAUUGCUAAUGAUUUAUAUUGAAUGUGUCCUUUUGUACAAUUUUAAUUUAGUUUUGUAUUCUUCACUACUUUGAUUUUCAGCGCUAUGUGACAUUUGAUACUGCCACUUAUUGGUACACAGAUAUUAGCAACACAUCUUUCAGGUUGGCUAUUACAGUUCCCAAAUAUCAGACAAAAUGGCAAAAUUUUUCAGCAGAUUUCAAAAAAAUUAAUUUAUCAAAUAUAAAUACAGAUCACUUUGCUGUUUUAGUUGCCCCCUGGAAUUAUCAUAAAAACCUGACCAAACAAAAGAACCUGUCACUUGCUGAUGUGAAGAACCUUCUGGCUAAGGAUCCCAAUCCAGAAAACUGGAAUCUUAACUUGCUGUAUCAUCUGGCCUGGGAUGAAAGUAUCCUUGGAGACUCAAGCAUUCAAGAUUUUCUUCUUAAAUUUUACAAUAACACUAAUACAACAGAUCUGAAGGAAGAAAAGUAAGCCAGGGAUUUCUUUACUAUUUUGGCUUCUCUUUCUUCUGUCUCCUGGUGAUGGUUGCCUUAAGCAUGUUACAUUGUCUGAUUUGUAGUUAUAAGAAGAUUUCUGAGCAGUGGUUAAAAUUAAAUUCUUUUUACGGCUUUGAAAGGCAUUCCCUUUAAUGGGAAAUAAUAGUCUGAGAUGGGAUGUUUCAAUGACAGACACAAAUCAUGUAACUUCUACACAAAAUCUGGAGUUGAACAAAUUUUACCUUUAAACAGGAGUUUACAUUAAAUAUACAUUUUAAGAUAAAUAUGAUAUAAAGGGAAAAAAUCUUCAAAACUAUACACAAUGGAAUCCAGAUAAUUCAAACUCACAUAAAUAGAAGUUCUGCUUUUUUAAAAAUUUUCUUCAUUAUUCAAUUCUUUUUCCUCCUUGUUGAAAUAGAAAAUGUGGUUAAUUGAAGUCAGUUAUUCACAGUUUCUGAUGAUUCCAAUAAAACAUUGUAAAUGCUCAGUGAGAUUUAUGCCCUUUAAACCCACCUGUAAGAAAUCAGCAGUCAUGUGAUUUUCACCAAUCUUCAACAUACUGCUAUUGCAUUUGUGACAAUUUGCUCUUCUGAAAUUGUGUAUAAAUCUAUAAUGAUUGGAUUUAGCUGAUUCUUUAUUACCACAUCAACGUAACAUAAUUCCCUAAUGAUAAUAUAAUGUUAGAUAAAAAUUCAGCAAGUACAGUAGUAUCUCUAAAUUAUAAAAUUUAAACAAGAGUUUCACUGAAAGAUUUAUUAUGCCAAACUGAACAACCUGUUAUCUAUUAUCAUUAUUCCUUUUAUAGUAUUUUUGAGUCUGGUGUUUUCCCAAUUAUUCGUAACAAAUGUCUUGACAUCACAUGAGCUGAGCUUUUUGAAGUCCUUCCAGAAGGUAUUGAUAAUUUCUAGAAGUUGAUGAUGUCAUCAAACUUUCACUGUCAACAAGGUUACAUCUCUUGAUCUAGCUCAAUUGGCUUAUGAUAGAAUUGUACUUGUGUAUGGUAUACUGAACCAUGGAUACGCAUCAAGUAGUCUAGCCUGGGUGGGUGUACCUACUAAGAGAAGACAAACUGGCCAACACCUUUCCUUUUCCCUUAAUUUCAAAGCCAUUCACACAUCUGACUAUACACUCUAUUUGAGUUAGUACAAUUUUCUUUCAUUUUUUAUUCGACUAAAUAAAUACCAUGCAUUGUAAUUAUUCAUCUGGCUAAAGAAUUCACUGAUCACUCUUCUCUGUUUACUGGUGUAUGCGCUAUCAGUUGCUCUACUGCUUUGAGUUCCGAAUAGAAUCAUUAAGUCCAAUUCUUUUGAAGAGAAAAUAGAAAUCUCAAACAUAGAGUACAAAAUAUUCUCAUGUUUGAGAAAUUUACAAAGGAAGUAGCUUUGUCAGAUAUUCAUAUAAUUCAGUAGCAUAUGCAUAUUAUUUAGUUAUUUUUCUUGUUGAAAUGUAAUGAAACGAAUUAAGUGGAUUCCACUGUUGUUGUAAAUUAUACUAACAUAACUAAAAAAAAAACUACUUGUGUAACCUAUGCUUGACUGUGAUUCCCCCCAUCUUUUACUUACCUUUUUGCCCAAUACUAUCACAAGUCAAAUCAUGUUAAUAAAAAGACAAUCAUUGAUUUAUAUUCUUACUUUUACACUAAGUACAUACAUACUGGACUUACUUGUUUUUAUGUUAUUUAAUCACAUUUGCUGUAAGAUUAUCUAGUCUAUAAUGUUACAUUAGUCGUAAUCAAUAAUGCCUCAUUAUAACAUUCUUUUUUCAACUUAAAACUUACUACAGUAAGAGUUUCUUUUUCGUGUCUGUAUUUUUAUUUCCUAACCUGGCCAUCAGAAAUGUCCUCACCUUGCCAUCCCAUUGUUCCUCCCUUCCUUUGGUAACCUCCCCUACAGGUAUGUCAACAUAAAGAACAGGGCUUUUUCAAAGAAAUAUAUUAGCGUUUUAAACAGUGUGACAAAGUAAACUGAGCUAAAUUAAUGGUUGACUCCAGUGAUAGUUUCUUGUAGAUACUUCAACUCAGUCUAACUGUACAAUUCAGCUUUGAUCACUUGUGAUUUUUUUAGUCAUUUAACUUAUUAAACCUAGUUACAUUCUUGUAAUUUAUUCUCCUUAACUAUUUAAACAAAACUUAGAUCUGCAAAUAAUAUUAAAAUCAAUGCUUGCUUUUUUCUUUAACUAAUGACUCCUGUAAGUGCUUGGCUUCACUUUUAUUAAUUCUGCUUUUGCUUUGGAUGAAGCAAUAUGUAUAUUUUUGUGUGUGGAUGUAUUCUUCCAACUUUUGGAUGAUGAGUCAUUUUGCUUUUAUCAAUAGAGUUGUGAACCUUCCAAGUUUCAAGGCUAUCCUAACAAUGAAACAAAAGUUCUGUGCACUUUUUGUGGACAGAUGGUUUGCUCAUAAUGUUUCAAAUGCGUUCACUUGUACACAAUGUUAUUAUAUUUUAUUUCAUUUGCUUCAUAUACUACUAUUAAUCAUAAUGACUUUAAACAGACAACAUUCAGUGAAAUUAGUUACAAGAAAAUUAUUUUCAAUUGCCUAUUUAUAAAAAGUGGCAAAUAAUUUUUUUUAUUGUCUUCAAGUAAUGAAAGGGUUAUUGAAAUGCAUGUUUCUUUAGAAUAGAAACCAAAAAAAUGUUUAUCUCUUAUUUUGAUUUUUUUU
rnacentral:sRNA from 1 species